GAGAGAAUUAUGUCGAUCUUUAUGGCUAUGGAAUAGUGCUGUUUUGUUAAUUAGCUUAAAUAGUUAACUAAAAUUUGAAUACUAUUUCUCUUCACCAUUGGUAGGUAUCUGCUGUGGGCCAUGCUGCAAUGCUUGCAGCUAUUAGGAAAUAUUUUCCGGUAUUGAUCCCUUCUCCGUACUCUUCUGAACGGAUGGAUGUGGUGAAACAACUAGAACGAACAAAGAAGAUGAAUUUUUAGUCAUGCAGCUAUUUUGAAGAUCUGCUCAAGAUUUUUAUAGCAAUGUCAUACUAAGCUGUCUGAUAAAUGUCACCUAUUCUUGCCCUGAGCGAUUUGUAUUUGAUGAUUGAAUCAGUGCAAAGUGACUUCUGGAAUUUAAAAGUGUAUAUGUAUAUAUAUGGAUGCAUACGUAUGCACAUUUGAUCCUCCAGGCAUUUUAAUGUAUAUACUGACUGAUGCUUUACUAUUGAUAUGUUGCCACAUGCAGUUGUUUGUUUUUGAAAAUGUCAUGCUCCUCAUUCAACA